rnacentral:rRNA from 1 species
UCUUCUUGGAUGAGUUGCGAACGGGUGAGUAACGCGUAGGUAACCUGCCUUGUAGCGGGGGAUAACUAUUGGAAACGAUAGCUAAUACCGCAUAACAAUGGAUGACACAUGUCAUUUAUUUGAAAGGGGCAAUUGCUCCACUACAAGAUGGACCUGCGUUGUAUUAGCUAGUAGGUGAGGUAACGGCUCACCUAGGCGACGAUACAUAGCCGACCUGAGAGGGUGAUCGGCCACACUGGGACUGAGACACGGCCCAGACUCCUACGGGAGGCAGCAGUAGGGAAUCUUCGGCAAUGGGGGCAACCCUGACCGAGCAACGCCGCGUGAGUGAAGAAGGUUUUCGGAUCGUAAAGCUCUGUUGUAAGUCAAGAACGAGUGUGAGAGUGGAAAGUUCACACUGUGACGGUAGCUUACCAGAAAGGGACGGCUAACUACGUGCCAGCAGCCGCGGUAAUACGUAGGUCCCGAGCGUUGUCCGGAUUUAUUGGGCGUAAAGCGAGCGCAGGCGGUUUGAUAAGUCUGAAGUUAAAGGCUGUGGCUCAACCAUAGUUCGCUUUGGAAACUGUCAAACUUGAGUGCAGAAGGGGAGAGUGGAAUUCCAUGUGUAGCGGUGAAAUGCGUAGAUAUAUGGAGGAACACCGGUGGCGAAAGCGGCUCUCUGGUCUGUAACUGACGCUGAGGCUCGAAAGCGUGGGGAGCGAACAGGAUUAGAUACCCUGGUAGUCCACGCCGUAAACGAUGAGUGCUAGGUGUUGGAUCCUUUCCGGGAUUCAGUGCCGCAGCUAACGCAUUAAGCACUCCGCCUGGGGAGUACGACCGCAAGGUUGAAACUCAAAGGAAUUGACGGGGGCCCGCACAAGCGGUGGAGCAUGUGGUUUAAUUCGAAGCAACGCGAAGAACCUUACCAGGUCUUGACAUCCCGAUGCUAUUUCUAGAGAUAGAAAGUUACUUCGGUACAUCGGUGACAGGUGGUGCAUGGUUGUCGUCAGCUCGUGUCGUGAGAUGUUGGGUUAAGUCCCGCAACGAGCGCAACCCCUAUUGUUAGUUGCCAUCAUUCAGUUGGGCACUCUAGCGAGACUGCCGGUAAUAAACCGGAGGAAGGUGGGGAUGACGUCAAAUCAUCAUGCCCCUUAUGACCUGGGCUACACACGUGCUACAAUGGUUGGUACAACGAGUUGCGAGUCGGUGACGGCAAGCUAAUCUCUUAAAGCCAAUCUCAGUUCGGAUUGUAGGCUGCAACUCGCCUACAUGAAGUCGGAAUCGCUAGUAAUCGCGGAUCAGCACGCCGCGGUGAAUACGUUCCCGGGCCUUGUACACACCGCCCGUCACACCACGAGAGUUUGUAACACCCGAAGUCGGUGAGGUAAC